rnacentral:rRNA from 1 species
AGUGGCAGACGGGUGAGUAACACGUGGAUAAUCUUCCUUCAGGAGAGGAAUAACCUACCGAAAGGUGGGCUAAUACCGCAUAAGACCACAGUGACCACGGUCACAGGGGUUAAAGGUUUUUCGCCUGAAGAUGAGUCUGCGUCCGAUUAGCUAGUUGGUAGGGUAAUGGCCUACCAAGGCAAUGAUCGGUAGCUGGUCUUAGAGGACGACCAGCCACACUGGAACUGAGACACGGUCCAGACUCCUACGGGAGGCAGCAGUAGGGAAUAUUGGGCAAUGGGCGAAAGCCUGACCCAGCGACGCCGCGUGUGCGAUGAAGGCCUUCGGGUUGUAAAGCACUGUCGUAGAGGACGAUAAUGACGGUACUCUAUAAGAAAGGACCGGCCAACUUCGUGCCAGCAGCCGCGGUAAGACGAGGGGUCCUAGCGUUGUUCGGAAUUACUGGGCGUAAAGCGAGUGUAGGCGGAUCUAUAAGUCAGGUGUGAAAUCCCGAAGCUCAACUUCGGAACUGCAUUUGAUACUGUAGAUCUUGAGUACUGGAGAGGAUAGCAGAAUUCCUGGUGUAGUGGUGAAAUACGUAGAUAUCAGGAGGAAUACCGGUGGCGAAGGCGGCUAUCUGGCCAGAUACUGACGUUGAGACUCGAAAGCAUGGGGAUCAAACAGGAUUAGAUACCCUGGUAGUCCAUGCCUU